rnacentral:rRNA from 1 species
AGCGAACGCUGGCGGCAGGCUUAACACAUGCAAGUCGAGCGGGCAUAGCAAUAUGUCAGCGGCAGACGGGUGAGUAACGCGUGGGAACGUACCGUUUGGUUCGGAACAACACGGGGAAACUUGUGCUAAUACCGGAUAAGCCCUUACGGGGAAAGAUUUAUCGCCGAAAGAUCGGCCCGCGUCUGAUUAGCUAGUUGGUGAGGUAAUGGCUCACCAAGGCGACGAUCAGUAGCUGGUCUGAGAGGAUGAUCAGCCACAUUGGGACUGAGACACGGCCCAAACUCCUACGGGAGGCAGCAGUGGGGAAUAUUGGACAAUGGGCGCAAGCCUGAUCCAGCCAUGCCGCGUGAGUGAUGAAGGCCCUAGGGUUGUAAAGCUCUUUUGUAGGGGAAGAAUUUCUGACGGUACCCUACGAAUAAGAGGUUGCUCACUCUGUGCCAGCCGCCGCAGUAA